CCGGAGGAAGAGAAAGAAAAUUCGAUUCCCUUAGUAGCGGCGAGCGAAACGGGAAGAGCCCAAACCAACAAGCUUGCUUGUUGGGGUUGUAGGACACUCUAUACGGAGUUACAAAGGACGACAUUAGACGAAUCAUCUGGAAAGAUGAAUCAAAGAAGGUAAUAAUCCUGUAGUCGAAAAUGUUGUCUCUCUUGAGUGGAUCCUGAGUACGACGGAGCACGUGAAAUUCCGUCGGAAUCUGGGAGGACCAUCUCCUAAGGCUAAAUACUCUCUAGUGACCGAUAGUGAACCAGUACCGUGAGGGAAAGGUGAAAAGCACCCCGGAAGGGGAGUGAAAUAGAACCUGAAACCGUGUGCUUACAAGUAGUCAGAGCCCGUUAAUGGGUGAUGGCGUGCCUUUUGUAGAAUGAACCGGCGAGUUACGAUUUGAUGCAAGGUUAAGCAGUAAAUGUGGAGCCGUAGCGAAAGCGAGUCUGAAUAGGGCGUUUAGUAUUUGGUCGUAGACCCGAAACCAGGUGAUCUACCCUUGGUCAGGUUGAAGUUCAGGUAACACUGAAUGGAGGACCGAACCGACUUACGUUGAAAAGUGAGCGGAUGAACUGAGGGUAGCGGAGAAAUUCCAAUCGAACCUGGAGAUAGCUGGUUCUCUCCGAAAUAGCUUUAGGGCUAGCCUCAAGUGAUGAUUAUUGGAGGUAGAGCACUGUUUGGACGAGGGGCCCCUCUCGGGUUACCGAAUUCAGACAAACUCCGAAUGCCAAUUAAUUUAACUUGGGAGUCAGAACAUGGGUGAUAAGGUCCGUGUUCGAAAGGGAAACAGCCCAGACCACCAGCUAAGGUCCCAAAAUAUAUGUUAAGUGGAAAAGGAUGUGGCGUUGCCCAGACAACUAGGAUGUUGGCUUAGAAGCAGCCAUCAUUUAAAGAGUGCGUAAUAGCUCACUAGUCGAGUGACACUGCGCCGAAAAUGUACCGGGGCUAAACAUAUUACCGAAGCUGUGGAUUGUCCUUUGGACAAUGGUAGGAGAGCGUUCUAAGGGCGUUGAAGCAUGAUCGUAAGGACAUGUGGAGCGCUUAGAAGUGAGAAUGCCGGUGUGAGUAGCGAAAGACGGGUGAGAAUCCCGUCCACCGAUUGACUAAGGUUUCCAGAGGAAGGCUCGUCCGCUCUGGGUUAGUCGGGUCCUAAGCUGAGGCCGACAGGCGUAGGCGAUGGAUAACAGGUUGAUAUUCCUGUACCACCUAUAAUCGUUUUAAUCGAUGGGGGGACGCAGUAGGAUAGGCGAAGCGUGCGAUUGGAUUGCACGUCUAAGCAGUAAGGCUGAGUAUUAGGCAAAUCCGGUACUCGUUAAGGCUGAGCUGUGAUGGGGAGAAGACAUUGUGUCUUCGAGUCGUUGAUUUCACACUGCCGAGAAAAGCCUCUAGAUAGAAAAUAGGUGCCCGUACCGCAAACCGACACAGGUAGUCAAGAUGAGAAUUCUAAGGUGAGCGAGCGAACUCUCGUUAAGGAACUCGGCAAAAUGACCCCGUAACUUCGGGAGAAGGGGUGCUCUUUAGGGUUAACGCCCAGAAGAGCCGCAGUGAAUAGGCCCAAGCGACUGUUUAUCAAAAACACAGGUCUCUGCUAAACCGUAAGGUGAUGUAUAGGGGCUGACGCCUGCCCGGUGCUGGAAGGUUAAGAGGAGUGGUUAGCUUCUGCGAAGCUACGAAUCGAAGCCCCAGUAAACGGCGGCCGUAACUAUAACGGUCCUAAGGUAGCGAAAUUCCUUGUCGGGUAAGUUCCGACCCGCACGAAAGGCGUAACGAUUUGGGCACUGUCUCAACGAGAGACUCGGUGAAAUCAUAGUACCUGUGAAGAUGCAGGUUACCCGCGACAGGACGGAAAGACCCCGUGGAGCUUUACUGUAGCCUGAUAUUGAAAUUCGGCACAGCUUGUACAGGAUAGGUAGGAGCCUUUGAAACGUGAGCGCUAGCUUACGUGGAGGCGCUGGUGGGAUACUACCCUAGCUGUGUUGGCUUUCUAACCCGCACCACUUAUCGUGGUGGGAGACAGUGUCAGGCGGGCAGUUUGACUGGGGCGG
rnacentral:rRNA from 1 species